UACGGGGGGGGCAAGCGUUGUUCGGAAUUACUGGGCGUAAAGGGCUCGUAGGCGGCCAACUAAGUCAGACGUGAAAUCCCUCGGCUUAACCGGGGAACUGCAUCUGAUACUGGAUGGCUUGAGUUCGGGAGAGGGAUGCGGAAUUCCAGGUGUAGCGGUGAAAUGCGUAGAUAUCUGGAGGAACACCGGUGGCGAAGGCGCCACUCUGGGCCGGUACUGACGCUGAGGAGCGAAGGCGUGGGGAGCGAACGGG
rnacentral:rRNA from 1 species